rnacentral:tRNA from 1 species
GGGGUAUAGCUCAGCUGGCUAGAGCACCUGCCUUGCAAGCAGGGGGUCAGCGGUUCGAAUCCGCUUACCUCC